rnacentral:rRNA from 1 species
CCUACGGGGGGCAGCAGUCGGGAAUAUUGGACAAUGGGCGAAAGCCUGAUCCAGCAAUACCGCGUGUGUGAAGAAGGCCUGCGGGUUGUAAAGCACUUUCAGUUGGGAAGAUAAUGACGUUACCAACAGAAGAAGCACCGGCUAACUCCGUGCCAGCAGCCGCGGUAAUACGGAGGGUGCAAGCGUUAAUCGGAAUUACUGGGCGUAAAGCGUGCGUAGGCGGUUAAUUAAGUCAGAUGUGAAAUCCCCGGGCUCAACCUGGGAACUGCAUCUGAUACUGGUAGACUAGAGUGUGGGAGAGGAGAGUGGAAUUUCCGGUGUAGCGGUGAAAUGCAUAGAGAUCGGAAGGAACAUCAGUGGCGAAGGCGACUCUCUGGACCAACACUGACGCUGAGGCACGAAAGCGUGGGUAGCAAACAGGAUUAGAUACCCCAGUAGU